GACGAACGCUGGCGGCGUGCUUAACACAUGCAAGUCGAACGGAAAGGCCCUGCUUUUGUGGGGUGCUCGAGUGGCGAACGGGUGAGUAACACGUGAGUAACCUGCCCUUGACUUUGGGAUAACUUCAGGAAACUGGGGCUACUACCGGAUAGGAGCUCCUGCUGCAUGGUGGGGGUUGGAAAGUUUCGGCGGUUGGGGAUGGACUCGCGGCUUAUCAGCUUGUUGGUGGGGUAGUGGCUUACCAAGGCUUUGACGGGUAGCCGGCCUGAGAGGGUGACCGGCCACAUUGGGACUGCGGGAGGCAGCAGAGUCCUACGGUGGGCAGCAGUGGGAAAUAUUGCACAAUGGGACGAAGUCUGAUGCAGCAACGCCGCGUGCGGGAUGACGGCCUUUGGGUUGUAAACCGCUUUCGCCUGUGACGAAGCGUGAGUGACGGUACUGGGUAAAGAAGCACCGGCUAACUACGUG
rnacentral:rRNA from 1 species